rnacentral:lncRNA from 1 species
UUGAUUAUAACAUAUCACCUAUUGCAUCUAAUCUUAUCAUAAGAUAACUUAUAUUGCUAAAUAAUGGGUAAAUUUCAGGUUAUGCAAAAAUGUUUAAUUAUUUUUAUUGUAUUAGUAGCCUGCCAUUUUUUCCAUCCAUCUCAAGCUUGGAGGACAAAUCAAGAUGUGGAAAGUGUAGGAUAUUCAUCAAGUAAAGACACAAAUGUUAUCCGACCCACAUCAGCAGGACCUAGUCCACCAGGAGUUGGUCAUGGUACUAAACCUAGGAGUCCGGGUCCAAUCCCUUCUAGUAAUGUUAUCCAACCCACACAUUCAGGACCUAGUCAUAAAGGAAGGGGUCAUGGUACUAAACCUAGGAGUCCGGGUCCAAUCCCUUCUAGUGUGGGACAUUAUGUGGAAGUAAAAUAAUGUCCUUGAUGUAUCAAAUACUAAAUAAUAAUAAUAAUAUAUUUUUUAUUUUUUAUCUUCUACUAUAUAUUUUAUUUCUUUUUUUUUUUUUUUUUUUUAUAUUUUAAAAGAUUUGUGUUUGUC